GGGGGUGUGGUUUAGUGGUAUAAUUCCUCUUUAGCAUAGAGGCGGUCCGGCGUUCGAUUCGCCGCUCCUCCA
rfam:Pyronema omphalodes CBS 100304, CBS100304, WGS project CATG01000000 data, contig: Pcon_v1_contig491